UUGUUGGAGAAGACACAUUAUUAGACAAUAAAAUGCUUCAUAUUUGAUGCAUAUUCAAGUUGUUGUGAAGGAAUAUGACAUUCUUUUUAUUGCAGAUGAGGUAGCACUUACUCUCUGUUUCUUAAAUUUCCCUAUGUGUGCAUAUCUUUAUUUGUAUCCUAAUAUCUUAGGUAAUUGGUGGAUUUUGAAGGUCGGGCACAAUGUUUGGGUGUGACAUGUACAACAUAAAACCAGACCUUGUGUCUCUUGCAAAGGCCCUUUCUUCUGCAUAUAUGCCCAUUGGAGUUGUACUUGUGAGCCCCGAAGUAUCAUAAGCCAUACAUGCAUUCUCAUUACAACAAACUCAGUAUAUUGACCACUCCUGAAGAUAGGCUCUUAUUUUGGAGCACAAUGUGAGAAGCAUGGAAUGUUAGUACGUGUAGUAGGAGAUAACAUAAUAUGAUGUCUCAUCCAUUUAUUAUCUCCCCCCAAAGAAAUUAAUGAGGUAGGCUAGAGGACUAACCUUCAUUUUCUUAGAAGAUCAAUAAGAAAUAAGGAAAUUCUUAUGUAUCUUGCACACAAUUUGAUUUUGCUAGAGAAAAAGUUUUCUAGUGGAUUAUUUAGGGAGAAAUUGGAAGGAAUUUAGACUCAUGAGCAUUGGGCUCUGUUUGGUGAUGUUGAGACAAAUUUAAUAUACAUUUGCAAUUCUAUUACUGAUGAGUAAUUUCUUGGAA